rnacentral:rRNA from 1 species
GAUGAACGCUGGCGGCGUGCCUAAUACAUGCAAGUCGAGCGAACAGAUGAGGAGCUUGCUCCUCUGACGUUAGCGGCGGACGGGUGAGUAACACGUGGAUAACCUACCUAUAAGACUGGGAUAACUUCGGGAAACCGUAGCUAAUACCGGAUAAUAUAUUGAACCGCAUGGUUCAAUAGUGAAAGACGGUUUUGCUGUCACUUAUAGCUGGAUCCGCGCCGCAUUAGCUAGUUGGUAAGGUAACGGCUUACCAAGGCGACGAUGCGUAGCCGACCUGAGAGGGUGGUUGGACAGACGGGAUGAGAGACACGGUCGCGACUCCUACGGGAGGCAGCAGUAGGGAAUCUUCCGCAAUGGGGGAGAGCCUGACGGAGCAACGCGGGGGGAGUGAUGAUGGUCUUCGGAUCGUAAAGCUCUGAUAGCAGGGAAGAACAAAUGUGUAAGUAACUAUGCACGUCUUGACGGUACCUAAUCAGAAAGCCACGGCUAACUCCGUG